rnacentral:lncRNA from 1 species
UAAAACGUCAGCUGAGUCUCUCUGGUCCUCUUUCCUUUCUUACCACUCAUGUGCCCCAUUCCUCUGUUUUUGUCUUAGAUUGCAAGCUUUUUGGAGCAAAAAGAAAACACAGGAAUAAAAUUCUCUUCUUUGCCCUGCUUUUGGCUGAGGCCUCAAGAUACCACUGUAAUAAAAUCCAGUGGUUUGAUGCAAAGUGCCACUGAAGAAGAGCAGUUUCCGCUGGAUCUGCGUUGCAUCCCUUACCAAGGAGACAGCGUUAUUCCGCCUCUAAUGGCACGGUCUUGUGUCUCCCCUGCCCUGAGCGCAGCAGAGCAGCGCGCUGAAUGCGGACCUCCCGAGAGCAUCUCUGCAGCUCCCGAGCCUUGGGGCUCGCCACCUCGUGGCACGCAGGUUACCCCACGCCUGAGCGCCUCACCUGCCACAGAUGCAGCACCAAAGACAAGGUCUGUGAAGUGAAUGGCUGAGCUGGAAAAAUAGCAGCUGAAUUUGAGCUGCCAAAUUAGCAUAGUUGGGAAAGGCAUUAAGGCAUUUCUUCAUAGGUUGAAAUGCAUUGCCGUAGGUUGUGAUGCCUGGGACCUCCAGAUACUUUUGAUGGGAGAUCAUAACCUGUUCUCAUGAAAAAGAAAAUCCUCAUCACAAAAGGACAUGUCUUACCCAU